AUUCUGGAGAGGGAGCCUGAGAAAUGGCUACCACAUUCAAGGAAGGCAGCAGGCAUGCAAAUUACCCACUCCCGACCCGAAGAGGUAGUGACGAAAAAUAACAAUACAGGACUCUUUUGAGGUCCUGUAAUUGGAAUGAGUCCACUUUAAAUCCUUUAAUGAGGAUCCAUUGGAGGGCAAAUCUAGUGCCAGCAGCCGCGGUAAUUCCAGCUCCAAUAGCGUAUAUUAAAGUUGCUGCAGUUAAAAAGCUCGUAGUUGGAUCUUGGGAGCGGGCGGGCGGUCUGCCACGAGGCGAGCCACCACCCAUCCCCGCCCCUUGCCUCUUGGCGCCCCCCUGAUGCUCUUAGCUGAGUGUCCUGCAGCCCGAAGCGUUUACUUUGAAAAAAUUAGAGUGUUCAAAGCAGGUCCGAGCCGCCUGGAUACCUCAGCUAGGAAUAAUGGAAUAGGACCGCGGUUCUAUUCUGUUGGUUUUCGGAACUGAGGCCAUGAUUAAGAGGGACGGGCGGGGGCAUUCGAUGCCGCUAGAGGUGAAAUUCUUGACCGGCGCAGUUCGGACCAGAGUGAAAGCAUUUGCCAAGAAUGUUUUCAUUAAUCAAGAACGAAAGUCGGAGGUUCGAAGACGAUCAGAUACAGUCGUAGUUCCGACCAUAAACGAUGCCAACUGGCGUGGCGGCGUUAUUCCAUGACCGCUGGGCAGCUUCCAAGAAACCAAAGUCUUUGGGUUUUUAGGUUCCGGGGGGAGUAUGGUUGCAAAGCUGAAACUUAAAGGAAUUGGUGGAAGGGACCAGCAGGAGUGGCGCCUAUGGCUUAAUUUGACUCAACAUGGGAAAAAUCACCCGGCCGGACAUGGACAGGAUUGACAGAUUGAUAGCUCUUUCUCUGUUCCAUGGGUGGUGGUGCAUGGCCUUAGUUGGUGGAGUGAUUUGUCUGGUUAAUUCCGAUAACCAACGAGACUCUGGCAUGCUAACUAGUUACGCGACCCCUGAGCGGUCGGCGUCCCCCAACUUCUUAGAGGGACAAGUGGCGUUCAGCCACCGGAAAUUGAGCAAUAACAGGUCUGUGAUGCCCUUAGAUGUACGGGGCUGCACGUGCACUACACUGACUGGCUCAGCGUGUGCCUACCCUAUGUGGCAGAGGCGGGUAACCUGUUGAACCCCAUUCGUGAUGGGGAUGGGGGAUUGCAAUUAUUCCCCAUGAAGGAGGAAUUUGCAGUGUGGGUCAUGCUUACCUGAAGUCCCUGCCCUAUGUACACACUGCCCGUCGCUACUACUGAUAGGAUGGUUUAGUGAGGCCCUUGGAUGGGCCCCGCCAGGUCAGCCCACUGCCCUGGCAGAGCACUGAGAAGACAGGCGAACUUGACUAUCUAGAGGAAGUAAAAGUCCUAACAAAGUUUCGGUAGGUGAACCUGCUGAGG
rnacentral:rRNA from 1 species